GUGUUUUCUCACUUUGGCAGCAUAUAUACUAAAAAUAAGAACGACACAGAGGAGAUUGGCAUACCCCUGUGCAGAAAGACAGGCAAAUCCAUCAGGUGUUACAUACUUCU
ensembl:snRNA U6 U6 spliceosomal RNA